UCCCUGGUGUAGUUAAGCAGAUGGUAGGGCUGGCUGUUAUGACACUGGUAAGAAUUCUAGCACAUCGUCAUGGGGAUAGCAUGUAAAUGAAGUCUCAACAUUUUCUACGUAUCUUAUUCUUUACCAGAUUUAGGAGUAACAAGGCGGCUCUCACGAGAUGCUAGACAGAUCAAACAGAAAGGUGGAUAUUUGGAAGGAACAGUCUUCUCCCACUGAUGAGCGAGUAAUCAAGAUUUAUAAAAUAUUCACUCUUCAAGACUUAUCUCACUUAGGUAAACCUCGAGACCAAUCCAGAAAUAAAUUGCCAAGCUUCUAUCAAAUAAUUCAAAAGGAGACCCAGGACUCUUGAUGAUACACUUGAAGUCACUAAAUAUGAAAGAUGAUAGCAUCUUGGAAGGCAAGAGCAGAGGAAAGGAGAAUUUUCACAGGGAAGAAGAAAGAGUUGGUGAAAGUGAAAUUGCUUUAACAAAAUAAUGAUCUCUAUACCUCCUUCUCGAACUGUGGUUUGAAGGACAGUAUCAUCAGCAUUACUUGGAGCUUGUGAGAAAUUUAGAAUUUCAAGGCCCCCUCGACCCCAACUUACUGGUGCAAACUCUGUAUUGUAACCCGAUCCCCAAGGUGAUUCUAGUGUACAUUAAAGUGUGAGAGUCUUGUUAUGAAUGGAUUCUUAUAGUGCUGCAAUUUAGAACAUCUUUUAAGAAUUAUAAAGACAAUUUUGUGUCUCUUGUAUCUGAAAUAAGUAUUAAAGGCAAAAUAUAUAUUG
rnacentral:lncRNA from 1 species